rnacentral:sRNA from 1 species
CAUGCUCGGCCUGCUGAGGUGAGAUCAGGUGGACGUGGGUGUCGAUGGCGCCCGCGGUGGCGAUGAGAUGCUCACCCGCGAUGGCUUCCGUGCCGGGGCCGAUGAGCAGAUUCGGGUGGACGUUGUUCUGGGUCUGCGGGUUACCCGACUUGCCGAUCCCGGCGAUCAUCCCGUUCUUGAUGCCGAUGUCGCACUUGACGACUCCCACGACCGGGUCGAUGACGACGACAUUGGUGAUGACCGUGUCCAGCGCUCCCUGGCCGUUGGUGGCCUGCGGGUCGGAGGCCAUGCCGUCGCGCAUG